rnacentral:rRNA from 1 species
UACGUAGGGUCCGAGCGUUGUCCGGAAUUAUUGGGCGUAAAGAGCUCGUAGGCGGUUUGUCGCGUCUGCUGUGAAAUCCCGAGGCUCAACCUCGGGUCUGCAGUGGGUACGGGCAGACUGGAGUGCGGUAGGGGAGAAUGGAAUUCCUGGUGUAGCGGUGAAAUGCGCAGAUAUCAGGAGGAACACCGGUGGCGAAGGCGGGUCUCUGGGCCGAUACUGACGCUGAGGAGCGAAAGCGUGGGGAGCGAACAGG